GACUACAAGGGUAUCUAAGCCUGUUUGCUCCCCACGCUUUCGUGCAUGAGCGUCAGUACAGGCCCAGGAGGCUGCCUUCGCCAUCGGUGUUCCUCCGCAUAUCUACGCAUUUCACUGCUACACGCGGAAUUCCACCUCCCUCUGCCGUACUCUAGUUAUGCAGUCACAAACGCAGUUCCCAGGUUGAGCCCGGGGAUUUCACAUCUGUCUUACAUAACCGCCUGCGCACGCUUUACGCCCAGUAAUUCCGAUUAACGCUCGCACCCUACGUAUUACCGCGGCUGCUGGCACGUAGUUAGCCGGUGCUUCUUCUUACGGUACCGUCAUCCACACCGGGUAUUCACCGAUGCGUUUUCUUUCCGUCUGAAAGAGCUUUACAACCCGAAGGCCUUCUUCACUCACGCGGCAUGGCUGGAUCAGGGUUGCCCCCAUUGUCCAAAAUUCCCCACUGCUGCCUCCCGUAGG
rnacentral:rRNA from 1 species